AAAAAAAAAAAAAAAAGAAAUAGUUAAUGAUAGCUAAAGCAGUAUUGGGAUGCAGACAAGAAUUUAGGGAUAGGUAUCCUUAUCAUUUAAUCUUAAAAUAUUGUUGAAGUCCUGAAAACAUUUUAGACAAUGGAAGAUGCUUUCAAGAGCAGGCCCAAUGUGUUGCCCAUACAUCAAACAGGUGAAGCUGAGAAGCAAAAGAUAUUAUGAAGUUUAUAUAUUGUCCCAUUAAUAAGUUCAUGGCCACACAACAUAUGUCUACUCUAGGUCAAAUAGAAUAUCUCAUUUCACAAUAAAGCUACCUUUAAGGAGUAAUAAUAAUAUAUCACUAACAAGAGUUGAAAGAAAAGGAAAUUAGUUGAUAUUUACUGAAAAAAGAGUUUCAGAUGUCUUAUCAUAUGGAUGCAACAACUUUGAACCAUCUUGAAGUGUAGCCUGAAGUGCAACCUCAUUCUGAAAAUCCAUAAACUACAUAGUUUCAAAAUCAAACUUAAAAAUUGCAUUGAAAGGGAUUCUCUUUUUCCCCUUUCCUUUCACUUUCCUCAUUUUAUUCCAGAAAAUCAAUGUUCUUUGAAACCAACCUCUGAAGGCUUUCCAAUAGA
rnacentral:misc_RNA from 1 species